rnacentral:tRNA from 1 species
UCAAAAGAAGCCAAAAAGAGGCAAUCCUCUGUUAAAGGGUUUAUUGAAAUCUCCUUUUGAA